UAAUAAGUGUUUUUACUAGCACUUUUUAAAUCUAGUACCCACCUUGUGUGCAAUGUGUAUCACUUUGUUUAACCAAUUCUUUGGAGUUGGUUUGUCAGAGUGAUAAUAACACCAACUUUUAUUUAUAAUACCCAUUGUCUGAAGAUUAUUUCUGAAUAUAAUAAUUCAAAAUA
rnacentral:misc_RNA from 1 species